AAGAUGAGAGGUGUGGGGUGGAUAGUGGGAAAUGGAGGGAUGAGAGGAGAACAGGGGGAUGGGAUGGGGGCCAGCAGGGAUGGGGAUGAAACAGCAGGGGAGGGCUGGGAUCAGAGGAGGUGGGAUUGGGGGUAGGGUAGGGAGGAAUGGAGGGAUGGGAGAAGGAGAAUGGGGAGAUGGGGAUGAAGAUAGGUGAGGAGGAAUGGGAUCAGAGGAGGGUAGCGGGCAAUGGAGAGACGGGAGAAGGAGAGGGGAGGUGGGGAAGGCGGGAUGGGAUCAGAGGACAGAGGAGGGCGGUGGGUAGCGGGGAAUGGAGGGACGGGAGAAGGAGAGGGGAGGUGGGGAAGGCGGGAUGGGAUCAGGGGACAGAGGAGGGCGGUGGGUAGCGGGGAAUGGACAGACGGAGGGAGGUGGGGAAGGCGGGAUGGGAUCAGGGGACAGAGGAGGGCGGUGGGUAGCGGGCAAUGGAGGGACGGGAGAAGGAGAGGGGAGGUGGGGAAGGCGGGAUGGGAUCAGAGGACAGAGGAGGGCGGUGGGUAGCGGGGAAUGGAGGGACGGGAGAAGGAGAGGGGAGGUGGGGAAGGCGGGGUAGGAU